CAAUGACAAGUAGUUUUGAAACAGUCGUCAUGCUUAUACUGCUGGAUUACUGAUUGAUAUAGCGACGUGUAAAUACAUCUUAAAAGAAUUGUGUAGGUUUUUUUCUCUUGUUUUUAUAAAGAUAUUGUAUUAAAUUUGUGUCGUGUGAGAACAAGAACAAUCCGGUUAGCAGGGUUGCACAUUCAUGGUAAUACUAUAAACUAAAAUUACUAGUAUCCUGAUUGUGAAUAUGAUUAACAUUGAUUACUGUCAAAUUAUAUGUAUAAGUAAUUUCCUUUCCAAAAUAAAUGUAAAACCAACACAAAAAAAUAAGUGUCGGACAAAAAGAAAAAUUGAAGUGUCGGACAAAAACCAACAGACAAAAAAGAGAGAAGUCCGACAAAAAGAAACACACAUGUUUAAGGAAAAGGUGUCCGCACAAAAGCACUGUAUCAGACGCAUAUAUUACAUCUUCCAUACAAAUUUAAUUCUGAAAAAAAGUUGAUGACGCUACAGACACAUGAAACAGUUCUGUCUAUGAGCUUAUACUUUCUAGACAUGUCACAUCCAAAAUCAAAUUAUUUAUUAAUAUAUCGUAUACAUGUACACGAGAUCUAAGAGUAAAUAUAGGUUUGAAUGAGACUUACUACUACAUUGGAAUCAUGCAGCAGUUCAUAUAACAAAACAAUAAUAACUAGUACGCAAACUUGAACUCUAAAAUGGGGACUAUCAUUUACGAAAUAAUUCCAUUUCCUUACCCUCACAAUUUCUUUCGAUGCAAAAAACAAAACAAAACAAAA
rnacentral:lncRNA from 1 species